GUACUGGUGGUUCAGUGGUAGAAUUCUUGCCUUCCAUGCUAGAGACCCAAGUUAGAUUCCCAGCCAUUACA
rnacentral:tRNA from 1 species